rnacentral:rRNA from 1 species
UACGUAGGGACCAAGCGUUGUUCGGAUUUACUGGGCGUAAAGGGCGCGUAGGCGGCAAUUCAAGUCAUCUGUGAAAUCUCCGAGCUUAACUCGGAACGGUCAGAUGAUACUGCUUUGCUAGAGUGCAGAAGGGGCAACCGGAAUUCUUGGUGUAGCGGUGAAAUGCGUAGAUAUCGAGAGGAACACCUGCGGCGAAGGCGGGUUGCUGGGCUGAUACUGACGCUGGAGGCGCGAAAGCCAGGGGAGCGAACGGG